UACAGCAUUUUGAAUUGCUAGCGCUUCCGCUUCAACUACUUUCUCGACCAAAAUGAAUUGCUGGCAUUUACAAAUCGAUAAGUUUUAGGGUUAUAAGAAACACUACAUGAUACAUGCAGUAACAUAUAUUUCUAUCAUAGCAAAAAGUAAUAGUAUAUAAGACUUGUUGGGACAAGUCAACCAAUUUCCGACUUCAACUCUACAUCGAUCACAUGAACACAUUAUGCCGACUCACAAUCGGUGAACCGAUCUACAGUCAGCUACUAUCAACCAUCAACUAACAAUUUGGUUAACUCCCGAUCGAAGACCAUCGGCAUAUCAGAGUUACCAGCCGUUACUCAUUCAGAUCUGCUACCGACUUAUCAGUAUUAUCGACAUAUAGUCGGCCUAUCUGCUUAACAUACCCUAACUGCUAUGAACGGUUAUCGACUACGUGUUACGACUAUUAAUGAGAAUAAACAGCCCACUAACUCAACGAUUAUAGUUCGAUAAUUUAGCGCCAUAAAAAGUGGGACCACGUGUUCGAUGAUUAUAUCAGAUCAUCUAUAAAAGGAGAGGUAAACGAGUAGCACAGAUAAGACAAUUCUGGGCUAACACUCUGCCACUCUCAACAUUCUUAUUAGCUGUUCACCAACCCCCUCUCUGGC
rnacentral:lncRNA from 1 species